rnacentral:rRNA from 1 species
UACGAAGGGGGCUAGCGUUGCUCGGAAUCACUGGGCGUAAAGGGUGCGUAGGCGGGUUUUUAAGUCAGGGGUGAAAUCCUGGAGCUCAACUCCAGAACUGCCUUUGAUACUGCAAAUCUUGAGUCCGGAAGAGGUGAGUGGAAUUCCUAGUGUAGAGGUGAAAUUCGUAGAUAUUAGGAAGAACACCAGUGGCGAAGGCGGCUCACUGGUCCGGUACUGACGCUGAGGUGCGAAAGCGUGGGGAGCAAACAGG